GCCUAAGCCAAGGCCUCACAACACAGAGAGGGACAGAGUAGUGCUGUAAGUGCAUACAUGCUGCUCUUUUCUGUGUUUUGUGAGCUUGUCUAACUUCUAACGCAAUUUCU
ensembl:miRNA gga-mir-6704 gga-mir-6704